GGCAAAGCCUUGAGCUGUUUCUUCAUUCGUACUGUUACUGUUUCUACUCUUUACUUGCAUUUUUGUGUUGCUUCUUCCUUCGGCCAGCGUCAAAAUACCCAUGCCUUUCGCCGACUUCUACGAGCCCUCUGAAUCCUCUGUUUCUCUUUCUGUAUCAAUCUCCGCUUAAUGUAGUAUAUAACAUAUUAUUUUAGUAUUCAGCAAGUACGUUCUUUUGUCCUUGGAGCUCAAAACCAAGUGGGGCGUGUAAAGACUGUACUUUUUGGGAAGCUAUUUGAAGGCAUGUGGAUUACAAAAUAUUGGUGGGUUCAAGAGAAUUAUCACAGCUCAUUAGUGGAUGUGAAAAUCUUUCGAGAUUUUUAAGACUUUGUUUAAUAAUAAAGUUGAAAUCUCGUUAAUGAUUUUGAUUGGACUAAUGGGUUCUGAAAAUCCUCCCCUUCUUGGAGAUUGGUGAGGUGAGUGAGGCUUGGACUUAGUUCAUUUUUAAGAGGUGUUCCAGUUUGUCCAAGUUAAUGAAUUUCUUGCAUUUCUGAGUGGGAGUUCUGUUGUUUUUUCACCAUGCCCCUCUCUGAGUUCCUGAGAAUGGCCAGAGGAAAGCUUGAAUCUGCCCAACCGAAAACUGCAUCUCCUGCAGAUCUAUCUCCAGCGAGCCUGGAAUUCGAGAUAGGUUCACUGGAAAUGUCAGCACUUCAAAAGUUGGGAAGUUUGUUGAGAUUGGGUCUACCUUGAAUGAUGCUAUGCCAUCAGUGCGAUCAGGAGAGACUUAUUUGAAUCAAGAAGAUGAGAUGGGGCCGUGGUUGAAUUAUCCUGUAGAUGAUGGUUUUAGAUCAGAUUUUUGCUCUGAAAUCUUGCCAGAAAUAUCUGGUGUAACUGGUAAUGAGCCAUCCACCCUUAACAGCUUCGGAUCAGUGGUCAAGGGGAGCUGCAAUCAAGUGCCCCAGCAUUCAUAUACAGUUCCGGUGCAUAAUGGUUUAGAUAUAGAGGCAAGGAAUGCAUCAAAGGUUUCUUCUUCAAGGACAGGUUUGUUGAGUCCAUACUCAUCACAGCAAUGCCAAUUAUCUGUUGCCCCCGCAGGAUCAGGAGUUUCAAGUGUAGUUAUGAAUACCACAAGCAACAAUCCAGUUACAUUUUUUGGAGAUACAGUUCAAGGUCAAGCUUCCUCAGGUGGUUUGGUUAGCAUGAAGAUGCAGAAUCAAAAAGUGGCAUCCAAUUUUUUGAAUUUUACCCAUUUUUCAAGACCAGCUGCUCUUGUUAGAGCUAAUCUUGAGAGAACUGAUGGCGUAGCUGCUUCCUGUUCAUCGGGUAUUGAAAAGGUCUCUGCAGUGAGUAGUACUAGUCCUGUCAAAUCUACACAUAAGCCAUCUAGUAACUCCCAGAAGGAUAUUUGUGUCCAUAGCCAACCUAAAUUGGUCUCGACCAAGGUAGAUUCAAGACCAUCAUUUGAUAAGCCACCUGAGGAGUCAUGCAGUGCUCAACGACCUGAUAAUUUGCACUGGGAUGAUUCCAUUAAGAAUGAUAAGUCCUCGAGCCCGAUAAUUAGUUCUAGCAUCACUAAAGAAGUGAAAGACGGUGAGAAUCCUGUGGAACCUGUUGUUGCUGCUUCCUCUGUGUGCUCUGCAAAUAGUGGCGAGGGAGCUUCAAACGAUCAGAUGCAUACACUGAAGAGAAAACAUUGUGAUAACGAAGAGUCUGAAUCACGAAGUGAAGACAUUGAAGAAGAAUCUGUGGGUAUAAAAAAAGUAGCUCAUGCUCGGGGUGUUUCUGGUUCAAAGAGAAGCCGAGCUGCGGAAGUGCAUAAUCUGUCUGAGAGGAGACGAAGAGAUAGGAUUAAUGAGAAGAUGCGUGCAUUGCAAGAACUUAUACCCAACUGCAAUAAGGCUGACAAAGCUUCGAUGCUUGAUGAAGCCAUUGAGUACUUAAAGACUCUUCAACUUCAAGUACAGGUGAUGUCAAUGGGAGCUGGACUGUGCAUGCCUCCAAUGAUGUUUCCAACCGGAUUACAACACAUGCACCCUGCUCAUGUACCACAUUUUCCUCCCAUGGCUGGUGGAAUGGGCUUGGGAAUGGGUUAUGGGAUGGGAAUGCUAGACUUGAAUUCUGGAUCUCCACGAUUUCCAAUAUUUCCUGUACCGCCCAUGCAAGGAGCACAUUUCCCUUCUCCAACUAUUUCUGGGUCUUCUGGUUUCCAAGGCUUAGCUGGAUCAAACCUUCAGGUGUUUGGGCAUCCUGGUCAAGGAGGUCCUAUGUCAAUCCCAAGAGCUCCCUUAGUUCCUUUGGUGGGGCAAGCUCCCAUAAGUUCAGCUGUGGGUGUGGAUACCUCAAGAAUGGGAAUUCAUGUUGAAGCUUCAAAUGCAUCUCCAACUUUAAAUUCUGUUGUUGAAGUGCAGAAUAAAAAUUCACAGCUAAAUCAUAAAACUGAUACUGGCAGCUCAAUAAGCCAGACAUCUAGUCAGGUUUGUGGUUUAUGCAUGAGUUAGCUUGUUUGCACUCGUAAUCAAAGGAGAGAUUCUUUCUUAUAAAUUUGCCUCACCAAUCCCUGUAGUAACUGCAGCUUCAAAGUUUUUGAGCAAAGAUAGCAAUUUACUGCUUUUGCUCUCAUUGCUUUCCUUGCAAGUUCUUUUCCUUUUUCUUUCCUGGUGAAUUUACAUUUUGCUAGGUAGUUGUGGGGGAUUUGUUUAUCAAUAUUUAUGAUUUCAUUAGACUAAUACUCCACCUCCUAUUGCUAUAAUCAUUCUUUUGUUUUUGGGAUUUCCCAAUUGUAAUCAUGCUUUAGAGGUGGUAUCCUUGUUUUCAACAUAGAUUUCAUUUGAAGGAGAACAAGUGUUGUUCCUUUUACAUUCUUGUGGUGAAAUAUAACCUCAAUUCAUCUUUGAAAAGUAUGGAAUCAUUUCAGAAUUUGCCUUGUUGACUAAAUGGGCCAACCAGUUAAUGCCUUGUCUGAAUUCUAGAUGCAUUUCUUAGGAGUUAAAACAAGUCAGACAUAGAGCUAGUAGCUCUUCUCUAGAGGCAAUAAUGGAAAGUUCGCUGUGUAUGUUGGUACAACUUUGCUGCUCGUAAAGAGUUGAAUCACAGAUUGACUCUUAACUUCAGGAUGAGGCGGAAGUAAUUGGAUGCAGAUCAAUUGUUAUCGUUCCUCUGUUCUCUGUUUUCUUUAGUGCCUUUUUUAAUUACUGUCCUGCCUGCUCAUAUGUGCGAGUUACAAUUUUUCUUUGAUUAAAUUUCAUUCAGCUGAUUGUUAGGGUAAAUGUUGAUCUCUGAGUUCAGACUUUGAAGUCAUUGCCCAAGUUUAUACUUGGUUAUAAGCUAUGGAGCUACAUUUGCAACUUCUGGUUUCAUGCUGUCUGUUGCACUUGAAUAUGAGAAGAUAAUCUCAGUCAGAUGGUAUCCAGCUUUUAGUUCAUUAUACCAGAUUUAAGGCAAGAAUGGCAUAUUAUCCAAGAAUAUUCCGGUUAUUGUUGGUUGGUUCCUGUAAAAUCUCCGAUAAUCCUUAAGGACUGACAAUUACUUUUCCAAAAUUAAAAUUUUUUUUGACUAAUAAAAAAUUCUAGUCAAGCACAUCAAGGGGGAAAAGAUGAACGCUGGUGGUUAUUCUUAGUUGAUAUACUGUGACAAGCUGGGCAUCUAAGAUCAAUAUGGAAAACAAGCUUUUGUGUUUCAUUUUUUGUUCUUCUGUGCCCUUGAGAGAGGAAAGAGGUAGUCUGGUUUUGGGACACUUGACCGUAGACCUGAAUCUGAUGACUUGGUUCUUGUCAAUAAUGUGAUUGAAAACUUGUAUUUAGCUUGAUAUUUGCAAUAUGAUUUUUUUCUUUGUCCUUGGCAUGACAACAUCUGAUGUAUCUAUCAUGUGUGGUUUUUCUAUUCCUUUUAUCUGGUCAUUAAGUAUCAAUUAGAUAUAACGAAGGGUAGACUUCGGGAAGUUGUAUUCUUUUUGCUCUUAUAAAUUAUGAAGGACUGAAUCUUGAUAUACCUCAGAACAAGAUUGCAUUUUGAUGUGUACAUGAUUGUUUGCUUCCUCAUCAAGCAGAAAUGUUGAUCCAUGUAGCUUUAUGCUAUUAUUAGAGGAAUGGGUGAGAUUUUGUCUGCUUGAUAGUUGCAGAGCAUAACUAGGACGACAAUUCCCGAUCCAUGUAUUCAUCGAUUUCUAGAUUUCUUUUCUAUUCCCCCCUUUUGUCCUUUGUAAAUUUAUUUGUUUGUGCUUGAUUUUCUUCUUUCUUUUUUCCUGGCAAUUUCAGAGGCAAACUUCAUACUUCUUGUUAAUUUCUUUUCGAAGCAAAACCGAUCUUUUCAUUUUUCAAAUAAUUAUUCACUCUUUAAGUCUCAUUCAUUCCUUCUGCUUUGUUCUUCCUUAUCUCUUUCAGUCAGAACUUCUGAUUUGAGUUUUUUUUUCCAAAAAAGAAAAAAAAAAAGUUCAAGUUCUAUGUUUGUUCAGAAUCUGGAUAGACUGUUGAUCAGCUUUCUAGCUGAUUUGAUUAGCAUCCGUUGCGCCUAUUCAUCAACUCUCUUAUCUCGUCAGCUGCAGGCGACAAGUAAGGAAUUUGAUCAGUCUGCCAUGACUUCAAAGGAUGAUCAGGCACCUGAUGUUUGUGCUGCGGCCUCCGUUAACAUGGCCAGUACGACUGAUCUCGUAUGUGACAAAGAAAAGGGGAGUAAUGGGAUGUGCAAGGAGUGAUUAACAGUGAUAACUAAGGUUCCAGCAGCCACAUGGAAUUCUUCCAGUUAGUGCCAUUUCUGUCCUGAGAAAGAGUCAUUGGUGACUUGUAUGAAGACGAGGGUUCUGCCAAGUUGUAGACACCAAAGAAUCGUUUUACGUUAUUGACUUACCUGAUUUUUAAUAUUAGGACUGUAUAUUACAAGCUGCACAGGUUUUUGUUUUGAAGAGGACUUUUUGCUUCAUAUGUUCACUUUUUUUUAACGUAAACUCUGCUGCAAGAGCAGCUGGUUUUGAUCUUGAGAAAUGCAAUGAAAAUGGUUAUUGGACA